rnacentral:rRNA from 1 species
CCUACGGGAGGCAGCAGUGGGGAAUAUUGCGCAAUGGGCGAAAGCCUGACGCAGCGACGCCGCGUGAGGGAUGAAGGUCUUCGGAUCGUAAACCUCUGUCAGCAGGGAAGAACGGUCACUGUGUUAAUCAGCAGUGAAUUGACGGUACCUGCAGAGGAAGCACCGGCUAACUCCGUGCCAGCAGCCGCGGUAAUACGGAGGGUGCGAGCGUUAAUCGGAAUUUUUGGGUUUAAAGGGUGCGUAGGUUGUUUUUUAAGUCAGCGGUGAAGGGUUGUGGCUCAACCAUAGAAUUGCCGUUGAAACUGGAAGACUUGAGUGUGUUUGAGGUAGGCGGAAUGCGAGGUGGAGCGGUGAAAUGCAUAGAUAUCACGCGGAACUCCGAUGGCGAAGGCGGCUUACUA